rnacentral:rRNA from 1 species
UUAUUGUAAAGUACCAAACGUACACGUAAAAGGACUUGUGCUAGUAUGACAAAAUGGAGGGUCUACAUAGGGCUUAACCCCGGAUAGGUGGUGGAAACCACCAAGUUGGAGUACAGUAGGGGCAUAGGGAAUUUUCGAUGGAGCGAUGAAAUGCGUAGAGAUCGAAAAGAAUACCAACAACGAAAGCACUCUGGUGUGUUGACACUAAAAUUGAGAGAUGAAAGCUAGGGGAGAAAAUGGGAUUAGAUACCCAAGUAGUCCUAGCCGUAAAUGAUGGAUACUAGGCAAUUUGCAUAUCGACCCAUACAAUUUUGUAGCUAAUGCGUUAGGUAUCUCGCCUGGGGAGUACAUUUGCAAAAAAGAAACUCAAAGGAUUAAAGGGAGCUAGCACAAGUGAUGGAGCAUGUGGUUUAUUUCGAUCCAAAGCGAAGAACCUUACAAAGGAUUGAUAUGUCGUGAAUCCUCUUGAAAGAUAAGGGUGCCUUCGGGAACGCGGACACAAAUGGUGCAUGGCUAUUGUCAGCUCAUGUCGUAAGGUGUCAAGUUAAGUCCCGCAACGAGCUCAACCCUCAUGUUUAGAUGCCACCAUUGAGUUUGGAACCUUGAGCAUAUUGUUGGUGAUAAACCGAAGGAAGGUGAGGAUGACGUCAAGUCAUCAUGCCUCUUAUGCCUUACGCAACACAUGUGUUACAAUGGUCGGGACAAAAAGUUUCGAUCCUGCGAGGGUGAGCUAACUCCAAAAACCUAUCCUCAAUUCAAAUUAUAGGUUGCAACUUGCCUAAAUGAAACCAAAAUCACUAGUAAUCGUCGGUCAACUAUAUGGUAGUGAAUUCAUUCCCGGGCCUUGUACACACCACCUGUCACACUAUAGGAGCUGGCCAUGCCCGAAGUCGUUACUUUAACCACAAUGAGGGGGAUGCCAAAGGCAAGGCUAGUGACUGGAGUAAAGUCGUAACAAGGUAGCCAUACUGGAAGGUGUGGUUGGAUACCUCAUUU